AGGGCUCGGAGAUGCUAGUUGCGAAUAACUUCGACAGCUGACCUCUUCCUUCUUCUACAAGCACCUUGGACACUCCAAAGUGAUAGAAGAUCUGGAGGAGGAAGAGAGGAGGAGGAGAAGAGGCUCUGAAAAUAAAAAAUCUACAAGAAAAUUGAUCAUGGGACGUCUAAGAGAGGGGUCCCCCUUUUAUAGACUAAGAAUUAAGACUUUCCAAGAAAGGAUGCCAUAAAUCAAUGCCAAAAUUCCUUUUUGGCAUCUCCAAAAAUUUUGAAAAAAUAGUAGGAUAUGGAGAAGAAAUUUGAAGUCCCAUAUACUAAAGGAUUCCUUAAAAAAAUAAGGAAAAAAAUAAUAAAGCUCUAAUAAUAUACCAUAUACAAAAAAAAUCCCUUUCUUAAUAUGCAUCUUAUCUCUAAUUCAGAUUGCAUUCGAAUUAAGCAAGAGAUAAUAUUAUGACUCAUCAGCUAUAGCCAACCACCCUUAUUGGAUCCUCUCUCAUGAUGCCAAAAAUUACACCCCAAAUCUAAUUAGGCAUGGAGAAAUUGGCAUAGAUCCAGAUGUGGCACA
rnacentral:lncRNA from 1 species